UGAUUAUGGCUCAGAGCGAACGCUGGCGGCAGGCUUAACACAUGCAAGUCGAACGGGCGUAGCAAUACGUCAGUGGCAGACGGGUGAGUAACGCGUGGGAACGUACCUUUUGGUUCGGAACAACACAGGGAAACUUGUGCUAAUACCGGAUAAGCCCUUACGGGGAAAGAUUUAUCGCCGAAAGAUCGGCCCGCGUCUGAUUAGCUUGUUGGUGAGGUAAUGGCUCACCAAGGCGACGAUCAGUAGCUGGUCUGAGAGGAUGAUCAGCCACAUUGGGACUGAGACACGGCCCAAACUCCUACGGGAGGCAGCAGUGGGGAAUAUUGGACAAUGGGCGCAAGCCUGAUCCAGCCAUGCCGCGUGAGUGAUGAAGGCCCUAGGGUUGUAAAGCUCUUUUGUGCGGGAAGAUAAUGACGGUACCGCAAGAAUAAGCCCCGGCUAACUUCGUGCCAGCAGCCGCGGUAAUACGAAGGGGGCUAGCGUUGCUCGGAAUUACUGGGCGUAAAGGGUGCGUAGGCGGGUCUUUAAGUCAGAGGUGAAAUCCUGGAGCUCAACUCCAGAACUGCCUUUGAUACUGAGGAUCUUGAGUUCGGGAGAGGUGAGUGGAACUGCGAGUGUAGAGGUGAAAUUCGUAGAUAUUCGCAAGAACACCAGUGGCGAAGGCGGCUCACUGGCCCGAUACUGACGCUGAGGCACGAAAGCGUGGGGAGCAAACAGGAUUAGAUACCCUGGUAGUCCACGCCGUAAACGAUGAAUGCCAGCCGUUAGUGGGUUUACUCACUAGUGGCGCAGCUAACGCUUUAAGCAUUCCGCCUGGGGAGUACGGUCGCAAGAUUAAAACUCAAAUGAAUUGACGG
rnacentral:rRNA from 1 species